rnacentral:rRNA from 1 species
UAGGGGAAUCUUCGGCAAUGGGGGCAACCCUGACCGAGCAACGCCGCGUGAGUGAAGAAGGCUUUCGGAUCGUAAAGCUCUGUCGUAAGAGAAGAACGUGUGUGAGAGUGGAAAGUUCACACAGUGACGGUAACUUACCAGAAAGGGACGGCUAACUACGUACCAG